rnacentral:rRNA from 1 species
AUACGGAGGGUCCGAGCGUUAAUCGGAAUUACUGGGCGUAAAGCGCGCGUAGGUGGUUCAGUCAGUCAGAUGUGAAAGCCCCGGGCUCAACCUGGGAACUGCACCUGAUACUGCUGAGCUAGAGUACGGUAGAGGGCAGUGGAAUUUCCGGUGUAGCGGUGAAAUGCGUAGAGAUCGGAAGGAACACCAGUGGCGAAGGCGACUGCCUGGACUGAUACUGACACUGAGGUGCGAAAGCGUGGGUAGCAAACAGGAUUAGAUACCCUGGUAGUCCACGCCGUAAACGAUGUCAACUAGCCGUUGGGGGACUUGAUCCUUUAGUGGCGAAGCUAACGCGAUAAGUUGACCGCCUGGGGAGUACGGCCGCAAGGUUAAAACUCAAAUGAAUCGGCGGGG